UGACUAUUAGGGGGAUUUAUUCAAUUUUGAUUUACGUGGAUUUUUAAUGACUACAAUAGUUUAAGAAUCUCGUGAUUCUCUAAUCAUAUAUAUGAAAGUUGACCAACUCUCUCUAUAUGAUUGACACAUCAUCACUUUAGCAUUUGUUAUGUGUCUAUUAAAUAAUUAAUGUAAGAUUUUCAACUUCUAAUAUAUAGGUUAAUUAUAUAUUUCUUAUUUAAUUUACAUAUUAUUAUAUUUUACAUAUUUAAUUGUAGUAUUACUAAAUUUAUUUUA
rnacentral:sRNA from 1 species